ACCUGUGGAGCAAAGAACUCUAGUGUUGGAUUGGAACAUGGGGGUUUGAGAUGGGGCAGUAGUAAAGAGCCAAAUAGAAAGGUAACCUGGGGUUUGAUUGCCAGGCUAAGGAAUUUGCACUUAACUUUGUAAUCAGUAAGGUAAUCCCCAGAGCUUGUGAUAUUCUGUUAUCUUAUGUAGUAAAAGAUACUUUGCAGAUGUGAUUACAUUAAGGAUGUUUUGACAAGGAGGUCAUCCUGGAUUGCCAGAUGAGACUGAUGUGGUUACAAGUCCCUUUAUAAAAGGAGGAGUCAUAGAAGAAAAAGCCAGGUGACAAUGGAGCGAAAGAUUGGAAAGAUGUCCUCACAGCCCUCAGAAGAAACAAAACCCAAUCAAUACUUUAAUGAUGGCUCAGUGAGACUGAUUUUGGGUUUUUGACCUCUAGAAAUGUAAGAGAAUUAAUUUGUGCAUUUUAAGCCAGAAAGAGCGUGUCAACUUGCUAGAGCAGCCCUAGGAAACUAACAUCAUCUCCUUAGGUGAUUCUAAUGAAUAGCUAAAGAAUCAAUGUUGGAGAAACUUGCUACUCAAAGUGCAGCCAGGGGCCAGCUGCAUCAGUGUUACCAGGGAGGUCAUUAAAAAUAUAAGAUUGACCUAAAAUUCAUUUGGAAGCAGAAGAGACCUAGAAUAGCAACAGGAAUUCUAGGCAACAAAAGCAAGGCAGGGGACAUCACAAUCCCUGACUUGAAAUUAUGCUACAAAGCUACUGUAAUAAAAACAACAUAGUACUGGCAAAACAAAACAAAACAAACCAGAUCCAAGGAUCAAUGGAAAAAACUAGAAGAUGCAGAAACAACUCCAAAGCCACUCAUCCACCUUAUCUUUGACAAAGGGGCCAAACACCUCUAAAGAGAGCCUCUUUAAUAAGUGGUCCUGGAAAAAUUGGCUUUCUACAUGUCAGAGAUUAAAACCAGACCCAUAUCUCUCACCAUAUACUAAAAUCAAAAUGGGUCAAAUAUCUAAAUACUAAAACAGAAAAGAAUUAAAAGGAUCAUACCAGACAAUAUAUGCACACCCAUGUUUAUAGCAGCACAGCUUGUAAUAGCUAAAUCUUGGAAAUAGCCCAGAUGCCUGUCAGCUGAUGAAUGGAUAAAGAAAAUGUGUUUUUUUAAAAAAAUAAAUAAAUAAAACAAUGGAGGACUGCUCAGCUAUAAAGAAAGAUAAACUUGAGAUAUUUCUAGGUAAAAGGACUAAGCUUAAGACCAUGCUCUUUAAGUGACAUAAAUCAGACACAUAUGUUUAAAUAUUGUAUUAUUUCUCUGGUGUGAGAAAGUGAAAGGGUAAAUAAGGACCAAAAUGUAUAAUAAGUAUUGGGAAAUAAAAAGAAAUUAUUCAAAUGGGAAAGGGAACAAGAGAGUGAUGAAGGAAGGGAAAAGAAAAAAAAGAGAGAAUAGAAGAAAAAAUGGAAACAAAGCUUUUGUAAAUAAGGAGGGGAAGAGGAGUUGAAGAAAGGGAAAGGGAUUUGGAAAAAAGAGAAAUCAAUAUAUAUCAUGUACAGGUACAAAUUUUCUGUGAUGAAUGUUAUAAUUAUAAAUAUCUAAAAUGCACUAAUAAAAUUACUUUUCAAAACAGAAUUGAAG
ensembl:lncRNA